rnacentral:misc_RNA from 2 species
AACGCACAUUGCGCCCCUUGGUAUUCCGAGGGGCAUGCCUGUCCGAGCGUCAUUUCAACCCUCAAGCACAGCUUGGUCUUGGGCUUCGCUGCUAACCCAGCGGGUCUUAAAAUCAGUGGCGGUGCCGUCGGGCCCUGAGCGCAGUAAUUCUUCUCGCUAUAGGGUCCCGGUGGAUACUGGCCAUCAACCCCCAAUCUUCUAUGGUUGACCUCGGAUCAGGUAGGGAUACCCGCUGAACUUAA